rfam:Hirsutella minnesotensis 3608 unplaced genomic scaffold MNSD_Scf_204, whole genome shotgun sequence.
GGAUUAGUAACUUAAUUGGUAAAGGGUUAUCUUGUCACGAUAAAAGAUAUCGGUUCGAAUCCGAUCUAGUUCG